rnacentral:rRNA from 1 species
UACGUAGGGGGCAAGCGUUAUCCGGAUUCAUUGGGCGUAAAGCGCGCGUAGGCGGUCUGUUAGGUCGGGAGUUAAAUCCAGGGGCUCAACCCCUGUUCGCUUCCGAUACCGGCAGACUUGAGUUUGGUAGGGGAAGGUGGAAUUCCCAGUGUAGCGGUGGAAUGCGCAGAUAUUGGGAAGAACACCGGUGGCGAAGGCGGCCUUCUGGGCCAUAACUGACGCUGAGGCGCGAAAGCUAGGGGAGCGAACAGG